CAGUCGCCGCGGUAAUACGGAGGGGGCUAGCGUUGUUCGGAAUUACUGGGCGUAAAGCGCACGUAGGCUGCUUUGUAAGUUAGAGGUGAAAGCCUGGUGCUCAACACCAGAGUUGCCUUUAAGACUGCAGAGCUAGAACGUCGGAGAGGUGAGUGGAAUUCCGAGUGUAGAGGUGAAAUUCGUAGAUAUUCGGAAGAACACCAGUGGCGAAGGCGGCUCACUGGACGACUGUUGACGCUGAGGUGCGAAAGCGUGGGGAGCAAACAGGAUUAGAUACCCGCGUAGUCCCUGUCUCUUAUAC
rnacentral:rRNA from 1 species